GACGAACGCUGGCGGCGUGCUUAACACAUGCAAGUCGAACGGAAAGGCCCUGCUUUUGUGGGGUGCUCGAGUGGCGAACGGGUGAGUAACACGUGAGUAACCUGCCCUUGACUUUGGGAUAACUUCAGGAAACUGGGGCUAAUACCGGAUAGGAGCUCCUGCUGCAUGGUGGGGGUUGGAAAGUUUCGGCGGUUGGGGAUGGACUCGCGGCUUAUCAGCUUGUUGGUGGGGUAGUGGCUUACCAAGGCUUUGACGGGUAGCCGGCCUGAGAGGGUGACCGGGGAGAUGGGGAAGGUGAGACGGACGAGACGGCUAGGGGAGGCAGCAGGGGGGAAUGUGGAACGAGGGGCGGAGGGGUGAUGCCGAAACGGCGCGUGGGGGAUGACGGGCUUCGGGUUGUAAACAGAUUACGCCUGUGACAAAGCGUGAGUGACGGGAAUGGGUAAAGAAGCACCGGCUAACUACG
rnacentral:rRNA from 1 species